GACGAACGCUGGCGGCGUGCCUAAUACAUGCAAGUUGAGCGAUGAAGAUUGGUGCUUGCACCAAUUUGAAGAGCAGCGAACGGGUGAGUAACGCGUGGGGAAUCUGCCUUUGAGCGGGGGACAACAUUUGGAAACGAAUGCUAAUACCGCAUAACAACUUUAAACAUAAGUUUUAAGUUUGAAAGAUGCAACUGCAUCACUCAAAGAUGAUCCCGCGUUGUAUUAGCUAGUUGGUGAGGUAAAGGCUCACCAAGGCGAUGAUACAUAGCCGACCUGAGAGGGUGAUCGGCCACAUUGGGACUGAGACACGGCCCAAACUCCUACGGGAGGCAGCAGUAGGGAAUCUUCGGCAAGGGACGAAAGUCUGGCCGAGCAACGCCGCGUGAGUGAAGAAGGUUGUCGGAUCGUAAAACUCUGUUGGUAGAGAAGAACGUUGGUGAGAGUGGAAAGCUCAUCAAGUGACGGUAACUACCCAGAAAGGGACGGCUAACUACGUG
rnacentral:rRNA from 1 species